GCCUGGGUGGCUCAGUCGGUUGAGCAUCCGACUUCGGCUCAGGUCAUGAUCUUACAGUUCGUGAGUUCAAGCCCCGCGUCAGGCU
rfam:Felis catus isolate Cinnamon breed Abyssinian chromosome E2, whole genome shotgun sequence.